UCUUGGCACUUUCCUUGGUGACCUGCUUAUGCUGCGUCUGGCGAUGGGUGAUUAUCUCUAGGUGGGUGAACCUGAGGACCAGACAGGAAGGACCAGGAUCCUGAGCCUUGGGAUGCGAGAGCCCCCGAAAUGAGCUCCAAGCUCUCAGCACUUGACACAUCUCUCCUGGGAAUGAGAUCAACCUUAAGAAAAGGACUGAGGAAUACCGAGUCAUGAGGGAGAUGCUGCUGCUCCCCGUGGCUGCAAAGAAUUACAACCAGAGCCGGAGGAGUGAUUUGGGUCCUGAUUCCAGGACAUGGAGCUGCUCAACGAGAAUGAUAGUUGAGGCUGCGCAGGAGUUGAGUGAGGGCAGGGG